AGAGUUUGAUCCUGGCUCAGAAUGAACGUGGCGGCGUGGUUAGGCAGCAAGUCGAACGAAUGCCAAUUGGGUACUGAUUGGCGGAAGUGGCGAAAGGGGCAGUAAGGCAUGGGUAACCUACCCUGGAGUCGGGCAUAGCCAUCCUAACGGAUGGGUAAUUCCCGAUAGCCCAGCGAGGAGACAUCUCUUUGCUGGUAAAGAAUUUUGCUCUGGGAGGGGCCCAUGUGCUAUUAGCUAGUUGGUGGGGUAACGGCCCACCAAGGCUAAGAUGGCUAGCGGGUGUGAGAGCACGACCCGCGCCACUGGCACUGAGACACUGGCCAGACACCUACGGGUGGCUGCAGUCGAGGAUCUUCGUCAAUGGGCGAAAGCCUGAACGAGCGACGCCGCGUGCGCGAUGAAGGCCUUCGGGUUGUAAAGCGCGAAAGUGGGGACGAAAGCCGAAAGGUUUGACCGAUCCACAGUAAGCUCGGGCUAAGUUCGUGCCAGCAGCCGCGGUAAGACGAACCGAGCGAACGUUAUUCGAAAUCACUGGGCUUAAAGGGCGCGUAGGCGGGCAUUCAAGUCUGUGUUGAAAUCCGGCAGCUCAACUGUCGAACUGGCAUGGAUACUGGGUGUCUCGAGGGAGGUAGGGGCGUGCGGAACUAUUGGUGGAGCGGUGAAAUGCGUUGAUACCAAUAGGAACUCCGGUGGCGAAGGCGGCACGCUGGACCUCUUCU
rnacentral:rRNA from 1 species